rnacentral:rRNA from 1 species
CGCUGGCGGCGUGCCUAAUACAUGCAAGUCGAACGGCUUUUCUAUGGAAGCUUGCUUCCACUGAGAAGAUAGUGGCGAACGGGUGAGUAACACGUGGGUAACCUGCCCAUAAGAGGGGGAUAACAUCCGGAAACGGGUGCUAAUACCGCAUAGUUUUCUUGAUCGCAUGAUCGGGAAAGGAAAGACGGCCUUUGUGCUGUCGCUUAUGGAUGGACCCGCGGCGUAUUAGUUAGUUGGUGAGGUAACGGCUCACCAAGACGAUGAUACGUAGCCGACCUGAGAGGGUGAUCGGCCACAUUGGGACUGAGACACGGCCCAAACUCCUACGGGAGGCAGCAGUAGGGAAUCUUCCGCAAUGGACGAAAGUCUGACGGAGCAACGCCGCGUGAGUGAAGAAAAGGUUUUCGGAUCGUAAAACUCUGUUGUCAGAGAAGAACAAGUUGGAGAGUAACUGCUCCAGCCUUGACGGUAUCUGACCAGAAAGCCACGGCUAACUACGUGCCAGCCGCCGC